rnacentral:rRNA from 1 species
AGGACGAACGCUGGCGGCGUGCUUAACACAUGCAAGUCGAACGAUGAAGCCUUCGGGUGGAUUAGUGGCGAACGGGUGAGUAACACGUGGGUGAUCUGCCUCGUACUUCGGGAUAAGCUUGGGAAACUGGGUCUAAUACCGGAUAUGACCAGGGGCUGCAUGGUUUCUGGUGGAAAGAUUUAUCGGUGCGAGAUGAGCCCGCGGCCUAUCAGCUUGUUGGUGGGUAAUGGCCUACCAAGGCGACGACGGGUA